GUCAAGUGGGAUAAUACAUCUUCAACCUGUUCUUCAUUCUAAUGACAAAUCAAGUAUGAUGCUGGUUUUUGGAAGUUCUUCACCUCCCUAAUUAUAAUUGAGAACUUAUUUGUGAAGAGAUGGGAGGCGGGAAAGAAUGCAACAAUCACCGAAGCGUGCAAGGAAAAAUAAAAACAAAGAUAACCUGUAAAAAUAUAGCAAAUCUUCACUAUGCAUAUUACAACACUUUGGAACCAACAGUACCGGUCUCCUGAACAGAACUGCUGUAAUAAAGCUUCAUAUUCACCAGG